rnacentral:lncRNA from 1 species
AGGCAAUCUAAAGUUAUAAUAUUACUUUUCAUGACCGUAAAUUCGGAGGUCAAGAUUGCAUUGUGCAUCCAUAUUAUUAAGAUAUCCUUGAGAAUUUUGGCUCCGUGUAAGCAUUUCACAUACUUUGGGCAUAGGUUGAUAAGCACAUUAGUAGCUUCACUUAGUUUUGCAAAGGGAUGCUAAAAGUAAAAAAUGAUGGGGGUUUUUUUUUUAUUUCUAAUGCUAUUUUGAAACAAUUCAUGAGCUUAAAACCUCUAGGCAUCCUAUCGUCAGUUUUAUGAGAGCCUCAUAUUAUAGACCUAUAAGACUCAAAUAAGGUUUUCUUGCCAAGUUUGUGAAUAAUAUUAUACUUAAUUGUAAUGUAUUCAACAUUAUAAACAAUACACAUAUAGAAUGAUGGCGUAAUUCAUUUAGUAGGCAGCUUUAUUCUUUUAGACAGAUCAUCUCAUAUCAACUGCAACUUUCAGUAUUUUGUGCAAUGCUGUCUUACUAGAUCAAAAAUUUGCCUAAUGUUCACUGUUUUCAAGUCGAUUNUACCUGUAAAUCAAACACUACUACGAACAGUAGUAGAGAGCUGCUAGAGAAAACAUAAGCUAAACAAACUGAGUUUCAUAUACAUAGUCCAAAUCCAAAAUACAGAGCUACUCGCACUGGCGAGUUUAGUCUACUAUGUACAGAAACUAGAAACAAAACAUCUACCUACAGUAGGGGCACCUCUAGCUCAGCAGAAUGGGUAGGGCUCUAACUCGCGACGCCCUUGCCUCGAUCCUGAUCUGCGGAAGGCGCAGCAGCCGGAACCUGUGGCUCUGCAAAACAGAGGUAACAACUGGGCGUGAGAACUACUGUAAAAACAUGUAGUCCUCAGUGGGUAUCGCCCAAAACCACAUCGGUCCACCCACUAAGUCUACAGAAGGGAGCAAGAGUAGUCAGAAAAGCAUGAAGCAAACUCUACCGCUAUCGAUCACUACACUAUUAUGCUCUAUACUAACCAACUGUAGUAAAUGUCAAAUCUGACCCAAUCCAAUCGGGACUGUAAGCAUACCCGUCCCCGGGACUGUGAAUACACCCGUCCCUGCCCCGUUGCGACUAUCAGGCUCUAUCCACACUAACUGGUCCGUGGAGAGCAAGUCCAACUGGCAUGAGCGACACCAACGCGAAAGCACAAAGCCUGUCUCCGGAGUGGCACUCGUGGGCGCUACCCAACCGAGUAUGCAGUGUAUCUCUAUCAAGCUCAAUCAGGCUCUGAAAAGCCAAAGUCAAGUAACCGACUAUAACUAGUCUAAUAACCAACAGUUCAUGUGCCCUCGGCACAAUCUGUCGCCAAAAAGGCGAUCCGGGUCCACCGUCAACUCUGACGGCACCCAACAAUUCGAAACAGUCCAAACGACCAUAUAAAAAUCCACUCGGCGCACCAGCAUGAGCGUAAAUAUAUUCUAAACAACCUGAAGUACUCGUCUCGAAGAUACUGCGACAGUACAAUUUUAUAACGGCUCCUAGAGCUAAAUCAGGCAGUUUAAACAUGUGACAGGUCCAAAUCGCAGGUUUUCUCCUAAUUCAAAUUCCAAGUCCAACAUGUAUAAACUACUCAAUUGAAUACCACAUGCUCCAAAUUCAGAUUUGCAAUCUACCAUAUGAUUCAUGAAUUCGAGCUAGAAUAGACUAUACUAAAAUUUAAUUUUACACAUGUCGACGAUUAGAACUUAGGAGUCAAAACCAAUGUAACCCACCUCAAGAAGCUAGCUCCUGGCAGCGAACGAGGCCUCGAACCAAAGUGACCCCUGCUGGAUCAACGGGAACCCUCCAAGUCUAGCACUCGAGCUAACUCCAAGCUCUACGAUCAAAAUUCACCAAUUCAGUCCGAAUUUCGCAGCAAUAGAGUAGAAAAGGGAUUCGACCAAGCUAACCUUCACCAAAUCCAGCAAUCAAGGGCUUCGUGGAUUCCUCUCAAAGUCCCGAAUCCAACGAACCAAGUCUCGUCGCAAUCCGAUGCUCCUACGUCGAGUACGAGCUAAAAUACUAACAGUCGACGAUGAAUUUCAGCAAAACAGCAUCACUCGAGCUCGAAAAAUAUAUCAACGGAGAAAAACUAGAUACCCACCUCGCUAGUGACUCUAGCACCAGCGCGACGUCAAGGACGGCGAAAACGUACCCUCGCCCGGCCUCCUCGCGAUGCUACGACGGCAACUGUACCCUCGAGCGGCUCUGCGGCGCGACGUCGGCGAAAACCGAACUCCACCCGAGCUCCUCCUCUACGUACGGCUCAAAAACUAUAUAUAUCGGCAAUGCACAGGUAUUAAAGUGAUAAGCAAGCUUGGGGGUAAGGUGCACGUGGCAUCCUUAUCCCCAGCUAGCUUACCAACUCAAAAGAAAUAAAAAGAAAAAGGAAAAGAAAAGAUAAAGAAAUAAGGAUACUACAUCCUCCCCCACUACAAAAAGUUCCGUCCUCGAAACUUAAAACAUACCUCAAGACGGGGCAACGAACAGGUCGGGGUAGGACUCCCUCAUCACUGUCUCAGGCUCCCAAGUCGCCUCCCGCUCCUCGUGAUUGCUCCACUGCACUUUCACAUACGGGAUGACCCGGUUGCGCAAUUCCUUCGUCUCGCGAGCAAGAAUCCGCACCGGUCGCUCCUCAUAUCUCAAAUCCUUGCCAAUCUCUAGUGGAGUGAAGUCAAUCACGUGAGAAGAAUCGAAAACAUAUCUCCUCAGCGCCGAGACGUGGAACACAUCAUGAAUCCCAGCUAGUCGGGGUGGUAGAGCAAUCCGGUAAGCAACUGGUCCAACUCGCUCCAAUACCUCAAAAGGGCCAACAAAUCGUGGACUAAGCUUUCCACGUACUCCAAAACGGCGUAUCCCUCUGGACGGCGAGACUUUGAGAAAAACAUGAUCUCCAACCUGAAACUCUAAGUCUCGUCUCCUGGUAUCGGCGUAGCUCUUCUAUCGGCUCUGUGCUGUCAGAAGGUGUCGUCGGACGACUCUCACCUUUUCCUCAGCCUCAAGUAAAAUCUCCGGUCCAAGUGUCUUCCUUUGACCCACAUCACUCCAACACAAAGGGGAUCGACAUCUGCGUCCAUACAACGCCUCAAACGGAGCCAUCUGAAUGCUCGCUUGAUAGCUGUUGUUGUACGCAAACUGAGCUAGUCUCAAAUGUCGAUACCACCCUCCUCCAAAAUCCAGGACGCAUGCUCUCAGCAUGUCCUCUAGAGUCUGAAUGGUCCGCUCUGACUGACCAUCCGUCUGUGGGUGAAACGCCGUGCUGAAUUGCAGCUGUGUACCCAAGGCUGUCUGCAAACUCCUCCAGAAAUAUGAUACAAACCUCGGGUCUCUGUCUGAUAUAAUCGACACUAGCACGCCGUGCAGCCUAACGAUCUCAUCUAAGUAUAGCUGCGCGAGUCUCUCUCUGGACCAGGUGGUCUGAAUCGGUAAGAAGUGAGCAGACUUGGUCAGUCUGUCCACUAUCACCCAAAUCGCAUCAAAGCCACCCUGUGCUCUAGGUAAUCCCAUGGCGAAAUCCAUCGUAAUCUGCUCCCACUUCCACUCGAGCAAUGGCAAACUCUGAAGCUUGCCAGCAGGCACCUGAUGCUCGGCCUUCACCUGUUGGCAAGUCAAACACUGAGCCACAAAUCUGCCAAUGUCUCUCUUCAUUUCAUUCCACAAAAACUGUGCCUUUAAAUUCUUAUAUAUCUUGGUUCCCCCAGGGUGAACCGUAUAAGGUGAACAAUGAGCCUCUCUCAAAAUAGCCUCUCGGAUCUCUGAAUCAACAGGCACACACAGCCGGUCCCUGUACCGUAGUACUCCCGAACUGUGCACAGCAAAACCCUUGGCCUGCCCCCUGUCUAACUGCUCUCGAAUCCCCAACAGGUACGGAUCUCCACUCUGUUUCUCUCGGAUCCUAUUCAACAGAGUGGGCUGCAAAACUAGAGAUAUCAGUCUCGCAGUAGAUCCAGGGGACACUAUCUCAAGCCUCAGCCGCUGCAGCUCCUCAAGUAGCGGUCUUUGCUGAGUGAUCAUCAAACUUAGGCUCUGCACUGACUUCCUGCUCAACGCAUCUGUCCCUUUUGAGUGAACAGAUACUUGAGACUUUUAUGAUCAGUAAAAAUCUCACAGUGCUCGCCAUACAAGUAAUGCCGCCACAACUUUAACGCAAAGACUACCACGGCAAGCGCCAAGUCAUGCGUAGGGUAAUUCUUCUCAUAAUCCUUUAACUGCCGUGAAGCAUAAGCAAUUACCCUACCAUGCUGUAUCAGCACACAACCCAGUCCACUGUGCGAUGCAUCACUGUAGAUCACGAAUCCUUGCCCCAUAACAGGAAGGGCAAGGAUAGGAGCUGACAUCAACCUCAGUCUCAACUCGUCGAAGCUCCUCUGGCAGUCCUCACUCCAAACAAACCGAAUCCCUUUCCGUGUCAACCUGGUAAGGGGUGUGGAAAGCUUCGCAAAGCCCUCCACAAACCGACGGUAAUAUCCAGCUAGUCCCAGAAAACUCCGCACCUCAGUCACCGUCGUCGGUCUGGGCCAAUCCCGGAUAGCGUCGAUCUUCUUUGGGUCCACGGCUAACCCAUCUGCAGAAAUCACAUGGCCCAAGAAAGCAACCUCCCGCAACCAAAACUCAGACUUCUUUAACUUGGCAUACAACUUCUUCUCUCGCAGAAGUUGUAACACAAUCCUCAAAUGCUCCUCAUGCUCCGCAUCGCUCCGGGAGUAUAUCAAAAUAUCGUCGAUGAAGACUACCACAAACCUGUCCAAGAACGGCUUUAAUACUCGGUUCAUCAAAUCCAUGAAUGCGGCAGGGGUAUUCGUCAAUCCAAAAGGCAUCACUGUGAACUCAUAAUGCCCGUACCGAGUCCGAAAAGCCGUCUUGGGUACAUCCUCGGCCCUCACCUUCAGCUGGUGGUAACCUGACUGGAGAUCAAUCUUAGAAAAGACACAAGAUCUUUGCAGCUGAUCAAACAGGUCAUCAAUGCGCAGCAAAGGGUACUUGUUCUUGAUGGUCACUUUAUUCAGCUCCCGGUAAUCUACGCACAACCUGAGCGACCCAUUCUUCUUCUUUACAAACAGCACUGGCGCUCCCCAAGGCGAUACACUGAGUCUCACAUACCCCUUAUCCAUCAGAUCCUGAAGCUGUGCCUUUAGCUCUCUCAGCUCUGCCUGUGCCAUCCGAUAAGGUACCUUCGAGAUUGGUGCAGUUCCAGGAACUACAUCAAUCACAAACUCAAUCUCCCUCUGCGGCGGCAACAAAAUCAACUCAGCGGGAAACAUAUCCGAAAACUCGCGGACUACUGGGAUAUCCUCGAGUCCCGGCGCUGCCGUAGGUACCUCAGCAAUCGUCGCCAGAAAUGCGACACAUCCUCUACUCAUCAGCUGUCGAGCCAUCGCCGAAGAUAUCCAGGUGGCAAACAGCGUGCUCCUGCAGCCUCUAAAAGUGAACUCCUCCUGGCCGUUCUCAUGGAACGUCACUGUACUCGUUCUACAAUCAAUAGUAGCAUAGUACCGCGCCAGCCAAUCCAUACCGAGCACGAUGUCGAAGUCCUGCAGCUGCCCUAAUACCAACAGGUCUGCGGGCAUGAUCCACGAAUCUAACUGCACCGGACACGACCAACAACGCUCUGCAUCCUGUAAAACAUGAUCGGGAAUCUGCAUCUCUCGUACCUGUAACAAUGUCCCUAACUCUAGACCAUGCAACAAUGCAAAUGCUCGGCUAACAAAAGAAUGCGAGGCUCCAGUAUCAAAAGAGUACGAGUACGAAUGCCGGAGAUCAAAGUGAUACCUGCCACCACUCGAUCGGCUACUGUAGAGUCCUCUACCUGUGCUGCAUAAACUCUGCCACUCAGAGCCUGCUGUCGCCGCUCACCCUGCUGGAUCCUCUUCAAAUCCUCCUCGAUCUUCUGUUUCAUGCUGUUGGGGAAAUACAUCCCAUACAGCAUUCCAUAGAACUCAUCCCACCUCAACAAUCCAGGCCUCAGUGCCUCUGCCAUCGAAGAUCGGUGGGUCAAAUUGCCGAAAACGAGCUAACCUCUCCGUCCACUGCUCCUGCUCGGCCUCAGUCAACGGUACUGGCCCCCUAGCAGGCGCAACUGGCGCUACUGGAACUGCUGCCGACGGAGGAACUGCUGCAGCUGGUGCGGUCACUGGAGUAGUCGGGGGUGGCACUGGCAACUCUGGUACUCUCGGUGCUGAACUCUGGGGCGAGGCUAACCUCUCGCACAUCCUCUCCAACAACUCCCCCUGCCGCCUCGUCACCUCUGUCAGGGCGGCUAACUGUGCACUCAGAUCUGGGGAUGCACUCACCUCUAGUCGUGCACUCUGCUCUACAACUGAGGGUGCACUCACCUCUGGUGGUGCACUCGGCUUUGCCUGCUCAGGCAUCUCGGAAGGUCCCGCAUGAUCCUGCGACAACUGGGCACGCUCCCGUAACGACGGUCGACCUCGGCGAUAAUACAUAGCUGAAAGAAACAGAUCGGGGUUAGAUAAAACACAAACACUCUCGAACCAAUCAACGAAAGUCUGGAAAGGCGGCCCCUGUUUUCCUCCAAAAUUAUGUCGUCUGCAGCCAACAUAAUUUCUCAGGGCAAAACAGGAACUCCUUCAGUCACUCACCCCCACUCUAGGAGGAGUUAGAACAAUUAAUCAUUGACUUUCGCAAUAAAUUACGCCUCUCGCGUCUUGCCUUCCUAAGGUUUGCCAAACUUAGAUUNAGUUUAAAAAAUUUAACUGCAAACUUGUGAAGUUUAGAUAUGCAUGCUUGUCUUUGCAUUCAUUCAUACUCAAACUACUCCAUGGAGCAUUUUCUGUAAGAUUUGAGGUUUCAAUGUACAUGCAUGCCACAUGGGGCAGUUAUGAUGUAAAAUAAUCAAGCAUUCGAAGGACACUGAAACUCCCCCCAAAAAAAUAAAUGUAUGUAAGAGUAAGUCAAACAACACAGUUUCUACAAAUCAAGUUGUUGCAUGAAUAAUUGCAUAUAGCAUUUACUUUAGAGCGCGAAUUUGAGUUUUAGUGACGAGAAAGAGUAAAAGAAAAACAUUAAAUAAAUGACAACAUGCACUUUAGAAGAAUUCAUACAAAACACGUAUAAAACUCAAUAUGAUACCCGAAAAAUGAAAUUGGUGCAGGAAAUAAGAUCAAACUUAACCGGAACCAAAAAUAAAUUCAAGUUAUAUCUCUAAUACAUUACCAACCCUAGAACAGCAUGUAAGAUUAGGAAGAAAGUUGGAUUUCAAAAAUGGGUUUUAGUUCAUCUCAUAGAGACAUAACAAAAUAAGGAAAGUCGGAAACUCGGAAAUGAAAAUUGCACAAAAGUGUAUAUAAACCUGGACCUUUUUAAGGCACUCAGCUUGGUACAAUCCGAAAAUCGUGCAUCCACUCAGAAGCCGAAAGAGAACAGAGAAGAGUUUAGUGAAUCAAACCUGCAGCCGAUAGGAUUAAUAUAGGGAAAGAGCAGUAAUUUGAACAUUUACAGGUGAUAGGCACAACAAGGAUGCGUUCUAAACGGCAAACAUUAAACAACAGCAUAAAUCAUUACUUGUCGAACUUAAGGCACAAAUUUCGAUAUUAAGCACAAACUACAGCAUUUUGUGUAGAAUGCUUGAAACUUAAGCACAAAGUUGAGGGUGAACAUAGAAAACUUGUAGCUACUGUGUAAAAAAAAUUCAAGCAAAGUAUCGAACUAAAACUCAAAUUCGCUCUCUAAAGUGAAUGCUAUAUGCAAUUAUUCAUGCAACAACUUCAGCUAGAUCUAAUUAAUGCAAGUUUACAAUGACAUGUGCUAAGGUACUAAGGUUAACAUGUACAAUUGCAUUAGAACACCACAGCUUGGUACAAUCCGGAAAUUGUGCAUCCACCCAGAAGCGGAAAGAGAAAAGAGAAGAGUUUAAUGAAUCAAACCUGCAGCUGGCAGGAUUAAUAUAGGGCAAGAGUAGUGAUUUGAACAUUUACAGGUGAUAGGCACAAUAAGGAUGCGUUCUAAACGGCAGUGAAGAAGGUUUCGGUUAGUUGAGACACAUAGCCAAGCCCCUAAUCAUGUAAAGUAGAAUUUAUAUUUACGGUGGUUGCUGAAGUUUAGAUAGGAUUUGAAGGUAAAAGUUUUCGCUCACUACAUCAGAAAAAUUGAAAAUCGCCAAAUUCCGCACCCGUUCACAGUAUUUCACAUGAUUUACUCAGGAUGGAAGGCUUGUUAAGCUACACAUGUAGUUAUUAUACUAUGGCAUUAUCAGAUUUCCAGCUUUAAAUCCCCCUACAUGGCAUUUUGAUUGUGCAGGCAAUAGUUAGCAGUGAAAAAAAUCAAAGUUACAAAUGUGCAUAAGAGCAACAAUAAAAACAUAGUUUUGCUAAAUACCAACAGCCGAAUCACCAAGAGAACCCCUGCUUCUCUCCCAUAAACAGCAGGAACCAAAAAAAUUAAGCAUAAAAUCAAUGGUUCCCCGUAAACAACGGGAACAAAAAAUUGAAGCAUAAAAUCAAUGCUUGCAAGAAAAAUGAGAAGCUCCAUAAUAAAUUAGGCUGUGGAAAUCACACCAAACAGCAUACAUGAAUGGAGAUGCAAAUAAAUAAAUAUACUCUGCUUAGACUCUCCUAGCCAUCGAAUAUUAUUAGAUUGGUGCCGAAGCCUUCUUGCUUAGUAGUGCUUAUUGAGUUUGAACCCAUAUGUAUGACGAAACCAUCCUUAGCACAAAUGAGAGCAGCCGGUUGCCUAAGAAGUAGGCCAUCCAAAGUACCCUCAUAACAAACCAAGAAGGGCCACGACCCUCUUAAUUAUCGCAGCCAUCUAAUAUUUAAGGCAGAGGUCAUCAUAUCAUGGGGGAAAAGAGGGGUAACAAUAAAAAAAACAGCGGAAAGCUGCGAAUUUGCAUAAGAGAAGAAUAUAAAGUUGGCUUUGCUAAACACUGACAGUCUAAUUACCAAGAGAACCCCAGUUUAACCCCCGUUAAAAAAAAAAAACAAAAAAAUGAAGAACAAAUUCGCUGACCGAAAUAUAAAAUUAAUGCUUCCAAGAAAGAUGAAAAGCUUCAUAAAAAAUCAGCAUGCGAAAAAUCAUACAAAACAACAUAUAUGAAUGGGUCUAGUAAACAACGAAAAUUGAAAAUUGAAGCAUAAAAUCAUUGACCGAAGUAUGAAAUCAAUGCUUCCAAGAAAAAUGAAAAGCUCCAUAGUAAAUCGGCUUGUAAAAAUCAUACCAAACAACAUACAUGAAUGGGUAUGGAAAUAUAGAAAUAUACUCUGCUCAAACUCCCCUGGUCAUCAAAUAUUAUGAGACUGGCGGCGAAGGCUUCUUGAUUCACAUUUAACUGACUAAUUGUCCAAUCGCUCCUUCUUAAAACUUGUCCAAUAAUGCCUGUAAGAAGCAUUAUUGCUUAUUUGGAUUAUGCAACAACCGUGACCUAGUUUUGGGAGAUUCAGACUAAUAGUUCUAACCUGCUUAUUUGUUGUGUGACCAGGUUCAGGAUCGAGGCGAAAGCUUCAGGAUCAUCUUCCAACUUCUUUAUUACACGAUUGGUUUAUAAAGAGAAAUAAAUCUCCGGUGUUUUUAGAUCAUUUUCGUAGGCAAUCUAAAGUUAUAAUAUUACUUUUCAUGACUGUAAAUUCGGAGGUCAAGAUUGCAUUGUGCAUCCAUAUUAUUAAGAUCUCCUCGAGAAUUUUGACUCCAUGUAAGCAUUUCACAUACUUUGGUGCAUAGGUUGAUAAGCACAUUAGUAGCUUCACUUAGUUUUGCAAAGGAUGCUAAAAGUAAAAAAUGAUGGUUUUUUUUUUUUUUUAUUUGUAAUGCUAUUUUGAAACAAUUCAUGAGCUUAAAACCUCUAGGCAUCUUAUCGUCAGUUUUAUGAGAGCCUCAUAUUGUAGACCUAUAAGCCUCAAAUAAGGUUUUCUUGCCAAGUUUGUGAAUACUAUUAUACUUAAUUGUAAUGU